GUGAUUGGCUGGGUGAGUGAACGUUAGUAAUGGAAGCUGAAUUUUUGUUGUGUAGAGCAUGUAUUGUCUGUCUUAAAUGUGAUUAUUGAAAUGGGUAUGGGGAGAACUGAAAUUGAUGUGAAGUAUAUUAAUGAAGUUAAUGACCGCAGAAUUGUUUUACACGAGGAUUGAGAUUGUAUGUGCAUUUACCUGAAGAUGGAUUCUGAUAUUCUGUCCCAUCUGAUCCCUCAAGGAAAGGAAACUGUACGCCCAGCUUGUAAGAAAUGUGGUUAUGCUGGGCAUCUGACAUUCCAGUGCAGAAAUUUCAUCAAAGUAGAUCCAAAUAAAGAGA